GAAGCUUGCUUCUUGGUGGCGAGUGGCGAACGGGUGAGUAACACGUAGGAAUCUGCCUCAAAGUGGGGGACAACCUUGGGAAACCGAGGCUAAUACCGCAUAGUGCCUUCGGGCUAAAGAAUGCGCGACAUUCGCUUUGAGAUGAGCCUGCGGGCUAUCAGCUUGAUGGUGGGGUAACGGCCUACCAUGGCUACGACGGCUAUCCGGCCUGAGAGGGUGAUCGGACACACUGGCACUGAGACACGGGCCAGACUCCUACGGGAGGCAGCAGUUAAGAAUCUUGCGCAAUGGGGGCAACCCUGACGCAGCCACGCCGUGUGAGCGAUUGAAGGCUUUCGGGUUGUAAAGCUCAGUAAAAUAGGAAGAAUAAAUAUGGUCCAAUAGGCCAUAUGAUGACGGUACUAUUUCAAAGCCCCGGCUAAUUACGUGCCAGCAGCCGCGGUAAUACGUAUGGGGCAAGCGUUGUUCGGAUUCAUUGGGCGUAAAGGGCACGCAGGUGGACUGUUAAGUUGGAUGUAUAAUCGUCAGGCUCAACCUGAUUUCUGCAUCCAAAACUGACAGUCUAGAGUCCUGGAGAGGAAAGCGGAAUUCUCGGUGUAGCGGUGGAAUGCGUAGAUAUCGAGAGGAACACCAAUGGCGAAGGCAGCUUUCUGGACAGGUACUGACACUCAUGUGCGAAAGCGUGGGGAGCAAACAGGAUUAGAUACCCUGGUAGUCCACGCCCUAAACGUUGUAUACUAGGUGUCGGGAGUUUCAACGCUCUCGGUGCCGCCGCUAACGCAUUAAGUAUACCGCCU
rnacentral:rRNA from 1 species